UGGGGAAUAUUGCACAAUGGGCGCAAGCCUGAUGCAGCCAUGCCGCGUGUGUGAAGAAGGCCUUCGGGUUGUAAAGCACUUUCAGCGGGGAGGAAGGCGAUAAGGUUAAUAACCUUGUCGAUUGACGUUACCCGCAGAAGAAGCACCGGCUAACUCCGUGCCAGCAGCCGCGGUAAUACGGAGGGUGCAAGCGUUAAUCGGAAUUACUGGGCGUAAAGCGCACGCAGGCGGUCUGUCAAGUCGGAUGUGAAAUCCCCGGGCUCAACCUGGGAACUGCAUUCGAAACUGGCAGGCUAGAGUCUUGUAGAGGGGGGUAGAAUUCCAGGUGUAGCGGUGAAAUGCGUAGAGAUCUGGAGGAAUACCGGUGGCGAAGGCGGCCCCCUGGACAAAGACUGACGCUCAGAUGCGAAAGCGUGGGGAGCAAACAGG
rnacentral:rRNA from 1 species